rnacentral:rRNA from 1 species
UACGGAGGGUGCAAGCGUUAUCCGGAUUUACUGGGUUUAAAGGGUGCGCAGGCGGAUAUGUAAGUCAGUGGUGAAAUCUCCGGGCUUAACCCGGAAACUGCCAUUGAUACUAUUAGUCUUGAAUGUCGUGGAGGUAAGCGGAAUAUGUCAUGUAGCGGUGAAAUGCUUAGAUAUGACAUAGAACACCAAUUGCGAAGGCAGCUUACUACCCGAAUAUUGACACUGAGGCACGAAAGCGUGGGGAUCAAACAGG